rnacentral:rRNA from 1 species
UGAGUAACGCGUAGGAACGUACCCCAAAGUGAGGGAUAAGCACCAGAAAUGGUGUCUAAUACCGCAUGUGCUCUAAGGAGUAAAGCUUUAUGCGCUUUGGGAACGGCCUGCGUAAGAUUAGCUUGUUGGUGAGGUAAAAGCUCACCAAGGCGACGAUCUUUAGCUGGUCUGAGAGGAUGAUCAGCCAGACUGGGACUGAGACACGGCCCAGACUCCUACGGGAGGCAGCAGUAGGGAAUUUUCCACAAUGGGCGAAAGCCUGAUGGAGCAACGCCGCGUGCAGGAUGAAGGCCUUAGGGUUGUAAACUGCUUUUAUGAGUGAAGAUUUUGACGGUAGCUCAUGAAUAAGGAUCGGCUAACUCCGUGCCAGCAGCCGCGGUCAUACGGAGGAUCCAAGCGUUAUCCGGAAUUACUGGGCGUAAAGAGUUGCGUAGGUGGCAUAGUAAGUAGAUAGUAAAAUCCUGGGGCUCAACCCCUUAAAUAUUGUCUAAACUGCUAAGCUAGAAUAUGAGAGAGGUCGCUAGAAUUCCUUGUGUAGGAGUGAAAUCCGUAGAUAUAAGGAGGAAUACCGAUGGCGUAGGCAGGCGACUGGCUCAUUAUUGACACUAAGGCACGAAAGCNNNNNNNNNNGCGUUAUCCGGAAUUACUGGGCGUAAAGAGUUGCGUAGGUGGUUUAUUAAGCAGAGUAUGAAAUGUCACGGCUCAACCGUGAAACCGUAUUCUGAACUGAUUAACUAGAGGGCGAGAGAGGUUUCUAGAAUUUCUUGUGUAGGAGUGAAAUCCGUAGAUAUAAGAAGGAAUACCGAUGGCGUAGGCAGGAAACUGGCUCGCACCUGACACUAAGGCACGAAAGCGUGGGUAGCAAACGGGAUUAGAUACCCCGGUAG